GGGCGGAUAGCUCAGUUGGUUAGAGCGCUUCUCUUACACAGAAGAGGUCGCAGGUUCGAGUCCUGUUUCGCCCA
rnacentral:tRNA from 2 species